CGGGUGAGUAACGCGUGAGGAACCUGCCUCAAAGAGGGGGACAACAGUUGGAAACGACUGCUAGUACCGCAUAAGCCCACGGCUCGGCAUCGAGCAGAGGGAAAAGGAGCAAUCCGCUUUGAGAUGGCCUCGCGUCCGAUUAGCUAGUUGGUGAGGUAACGGCCCACCAAGGCGACGAUCGGUAGCCGGACUGAGAGGUUGAACGGCCACAUUGGGACUGAGACACGGCCCAG
rnacentral:rRNA from 1 species